UUGUGCAUCCGUACUUACGGAGCCCCGUAAAUCUAGAAACUUUGGCGUUAUCAAGUGACAACGUCGGCGCUAGAAAAGUUGCGCCUCAUUGCAGCUCGCGACAAUAGCGAAGUUGUAGUAAGAGAGAGAGAGAGCCAACGGUGCCGGUGGAAAUGGCCGGAAGAAAUCGUAUGCUGCCUAAUCAUCGAGAGGUGCCAUUUCCUAGGGGAGGACCCCUUCCCCAUCCCUCCUUAAUGGAAGAGCCCUUACCCCGCCAUCAUCGCGUCCCCUUAUCCGCCGGUGCUGGACGCCCGCACCCAGCGAUCAUCGAAGAGCACCUCAUCGCUCAGAACCGCGAGAUCCAGGGCCUUCUCCACGACAAUCAACGGCUUGCGGCGACCCAUGUUGCCCUAAAGCAGGACCUCGUCGUUUCCCAGCAGGAGCUUCGCCACUUAUCGGCGACUGCUGCCAGCGUCAAGGCAGGUAGAGAUGCCGAGAUACGAGACGUCUACGAGCGGUCAUUGAAGAUGGAGGCGGAGGUCCGAUCUAUUGACGCUUUUAAUGCGGAGUUGUCUCAGGUCAGAGUUGAUGUUCAGAAGUUGAGUGCUGCCAGGCAGGACCUCACUGCUCAGUUGCAGACCAUCAACAGUGACCUCGCAAGAGCCCGUGCCGACUUGCAGCAGGCGCCCGCCAUCAAGGCCGAAAUCGAAUAUAUGCGUCGCGAGAUCCAAAGGGGAAGGGCUGCUAUUGAAUACGAGAAGAAGGUGCGUGCUGAAAAUCUGGAACAUGGUCGGGCGAUGGAGGGAAAUAUGGCUUCCAUGGCUCGUGAAGCUGAAAAGUUACGCGCAGAGCUUGCUAAUGCGGAGAAGAGAGCUCGUGCAGCAGCUGCUGCUGCAGCGAACCCUGGUCCUGGAUUUGUUGGAAAUUAUGGAAAUUCUGACAUGGGGUAUGGAGGAAGUUUAUAUGCUGAUCCUCAUGGCUUGCACCAGGUUCAGGGUGGUGGUGCUGAUGCUGGUCCUCAAUAUGGGUCCGGAGCGAGUGGACAUGGUUCUUAUGAUAUACAGCGAACUCACAUUCAUAGAUGAACACCCUGUCGAUGUUGUGAUCAUCUGGCAUCAAAGUCUGUUUUUGUUUUGGGGUAGUUGGGAUCACUUCAGGCUUCCAUAGUGUCUUCAGUAAGCAGGUGGUUGGAUAAGCUGGCUGUUGCAGGCUAUAUUACUUUUCAUUAUUUUCACCUCAAUUUUCCCCUCAGCCAUAUAAGAGGAAUUACCGCCUGAAGGAGACUGGAAUCGGCCUAGCAGGCUUCUUGUUGUGAGAGAGAACUGGAUCAUCCUAUAUGGAUAAGGCAGACCAGAGUUUUCAACUAUACUUCUUAGGUAAUACGGGCCUAUGUGGUGGAUGUGCACCUACAGUCUAAAGCUUGCUCGAGAAGAAUGUUGGUACUAAUAUGGUAAGUUUACUAUGUACCAGAGGACUAUCGACCAACUGCAGACUAUGCCACGAAUUAUGCUCAUCAGCAAUUUAGUACAGGCACAUUCCAAGGUGUCCUGCCUACAUGCGAAGUCUUAACCCAAAUUGGCUGAUAAGCAAAAUAGAGCUUCAAAAUUACGGCACAGAAUGAACUUAUAUAAGUGAAUAUUUGAAUGAAUCGCACAGGAAAAAGCCAAAACAUAAAAGGGUCUAAAUUUUGAACAUUGUCGUCCAAACCAAUCCCUAGAUAAUCGGUCAGAACUGCCAUGUCACACCUCAAUGUGGCACAAAGGAUAUUCUUUCUUUCUAUUCAAUCAAUUAUUAUUAUUAUUAUUAUUA